rnacentral:tRNA from 1 species
GGUGCUAUAGCUUAGUGGUAGAGUGCUUGCCUAGCAUGCAUGAGGCACUGGGUUUAAUCCUUAACACUA